rnacentral:rRNA from 1 species
CCUACGGGAGGCAGCAGUGAGGAAUAUUGGUCAAUGGUCGCGAGACUGAACCAGCCAAGCCGCGUGAAGGAGGAAUGUACAGAGUAUUGUAAACCUCUUUUGUCAGGGAAUAAAGGCGGGGACGUGUCCCCGGAUGAGUGUACCUGAUGAAAAAGCAUCGGCUAACUCCGUGCCAGCAGCCGCGGUAAUACGGAGGAUGCGAGCGUUAUCCGGAUUUAUUGGGGUUAAAGGGUGCGCAGGGGGUUUGUUAAGUUCGGUGGGAAACUCGGGGGGCUAAACCCCAGCUCGCAGUUGAUACUGGCAGUCUCGAGUUGGAGAGAGGUAUGCGGAAUGCGCGGUGUAGCGGUGAAAUGCAUAGAUAUCGCGCAGAACUCCGAUUGCGAAGGCAGCAU